UCUACGGGGGGCUGCAGUGGGGAAUAUUGCACAAUGGGGGAAACCCUGAUGCAGCGACGCCGCGUGAGCGAUGAAGUAUUUCGGUAUGUAAAGCUCUAUCAGCAGGGAAGAAAAUGACGGUACCUGACUAAGAAGCCCCGGCUAACUACGUGCCAGCAGCCGCGGUAAUACGUAGGGGGCAAGCGUUAUCCGGAUGUACUGGGUGUAAAGGGGGCGUAGACGGGGGUGCAAGCCAGAUGUGAAAGCCCGGGGCGCAACCCCGGGACUGCAUUUGGAACUGGGCGGCUAGAGUGUCGGAGAGGCAGGCGGAAUUCCUAGUGUAGCGGUGAAAGGCGUAGAUAUUAGGAGGAACACCAGUGGCGAAGGCGGCCUGCUGGACGAUGACUGACGUUGAGGCUCGAAAGCGUGGGGAGCAAACAGGAUUAGAUACCCCUGUAGUC
rnacentral:rRNA from 1 species